AGCGGGGCCGGGAAGAUGGUGGUGUGGCCGUGAGUGAGGUUGAUGCAGGCACAGUAUGGAUCGGACUUGUGAAUUAUCUAGAAGAAAUUGUCUGCUGUCCUUUUCUAAUCCGGUGAAUUUAGAUGCCUCCGAAGACAAGGACAGCCCUUUCGGAUGAUCCAGACUCCAGUCCCAGUCCAUUAGGAAACAUGCUAGAAAUACCUGGAACUUCAUCACCAUCCACUUCACAGGAAUUGCCAUUUUGUCAACCGAAGAAAAAGUCUACACCACUGAAAUAUGAAGUUGGAGAUCUUAUUUGGGCAAAAUUCAAGAGACGCCCUUGGUGGCCCUGCAGGAUCUGUUCUGAUCCAUUGAUUAAUACACACUCAAAAAUGAAAGGUAAUAACUUACAGUUGAUUAUUUGUUGUAAAAUACAAUGUGUGGAAUCAUGAGCUUUUUAGGAGCUGUUUUUAGUGUGAAUCAGGAUUUUGGUACUUAGCAGUAAUACAUUGUUUUCUUGGAAAUUUUUAGGAAUUAACACCUUUCAUUUUUUUAGUUGAAGUUUGUCUUACUCUGAAAUUGAAAAGUGGUUAGAUCAGGCUGUUAGUACUUGCCUGCAAUUUCAUGGUUGGAAAGAUGGAGUCAGAAGAAUCAUGGAUAUGAGGACAGCUACGUAGUGAGAUUAUGUUUAAAAAUUUUUAAAGAUUUAUUUAUUUAUGUAUAUGAGUAUACUGUAGCUAUACGGAUGGUUGCAAGCCAUCAUGUGGUUGCUGGGUAUUGAACUCCCUCUGGCCCCACUCACUCUAGCCCAAAGAUUUAUUUAUUAUUAUAGAUAAAUACAGUGUAGCUGUCUUCAGACAUACGGGAAGAGGAUAUCAGAUCUCAUUAUGGAUGGUUGUGAGCCACCAUGUGGUUGUUGUGCUUUGAACUCAGGACCUUCAGGAAAGCAGUAAGUGUUCUUAUCCGUUGAGCCGUCUCUCCAGCCCAUUUUAAAUUUCAAGACCUCAGGACAGUGAAGGUGCACACCUUUGAGACCCAGCACUUGGGGGACAGAGGCUGGUGAAUCUCUGAGUUCCUGGCCAGCUUGGUCUACAGAGUGAGUUCCAGGACAGCCAUGACUGUUACGCAAAGAAACCCUGUCUCAAAAAACAACACAAGGGCUGGAGAGAUGGCUCAGUGGUUAAGAGCACCGACUGCUCUUCUAAAGGUCCAGAGUCAAAUCCCAGCAACAACAUGGUGGCUCACAACCCUCCAUAACAAGAUCUGACCCCCUCUUCUGGAGUGUCUGGAGACAGCUACAGUGUACUUACAUAUAAUAAAUAAAUAAAAUCUUAAAAAAAAACCAAAACUCAGUUAUUUUGUAUGUAUACAAUGGAAAAUAAAAAUGGAAAUUUAGUUCUACAAAUUAAUGUAUGUCCCAGUCUCCCUGUCACACACCCCUGACCCCCAUAUUUUUGUAAAUGAGGUUUUAUUUUUGUCAGGCUGGCCUUGAACUGUCUGGCAAUCUGAUCUUCCUCCAUCUCCCAUGUGCUGGGAUAUCAGGUGUGUGCCACUCAGUUUAUGUGGUGCUAUCAUCUCGCCUGGGACUUUGUGCAUUGUAUGUAGUCACUUUACAAACUGAGGUUCAUUUAUUGACCUUAGACUCUUUACUUAAGAAUUUACUUUGUUGGGGCUGGAGAGGUUUCUCAGUAGUUAAGAGUACUGCCUGCCCUUAUAGAGAUCCUGAGUUCAAUUCCCAGCAACCAUAUGGUGGCUCACAACCAUCUGUAAUAGAAUCUGAUGCCCUCUUCAGGGUGUGGGAAAAGUGAUCAUUCAUACAUAAAAAAUAAAUAAGUAUUUUUAC
rnacentral:lncRNA from 1 species